rnacentral:rRNA from 1 species
UCCAGGCCCUACGGGGCGCAGCAGGCGCGAAACCUUUACACUGCACGCGAGUGCGAUAAGGGGACUCCAAGUGCGAGGGCAUAUAGUCCUCGCUUUUUCCGACCGUAGGAUGGUCGGCGAAUAAGUGCUGGGCAAGACCGGUGCCAGCCGCCGCGGUAAUACCGGCAGCACGAGUGAUGACCGCUAUUAUUGGGCCUAAAGCGUCCGUAGCUGGCCACGCAAGUCCAUCGGGAAAUCUCUCCGCUCAACGGAGAGGCGUCCGGUGGAAACUGUGUGGCUUGGGACCGGAAGAUCCAGAGGGUACGUCUGGGGUAGGAGUGAAAUCCCGUAAUCCGAGACGGACCACCGGUGGCGAAAGCGCUCUGGAAAGACGGAUCCGACGGUGAGGGACGAAAGCUCGGGUCACGAACCGGAUUAGAUACCCGGGUAGUCCGAGCUGUAAACGAUGUCUGCUAGGUGUGACACAGGCUACGAGCCUGUGUUGUGCCGUAGGGAAGCCGUGAAGCAGACCGCCUGGGAAGUACGUCUGC